CAGUCCGACGAUGAACCGGUUUCGGCCGGGGAUUAGUGGCGAACGGGUGAGUAACACGUGGGCAAUCUGCCCUGCACUCUGGGACAAGCCCUGGAAACGGGGUCUAAUACCGGAUAUGACUGCCGACCGCAUGGUCUGGUGGUGGAAAGCUCCGGCGGUGCAGGAUGAGCCCGCGGCCUAUCAGCUUGUUGGUGGGGUGAUGGCCUACCAAGGCGACGACGGGUAGCCGGCCUGAGAGGGCGACCGGCCACACUGGGACUGAGACACGGCCCAGACUCCUACGGGAGGCAGCAGUGGGGAAUAUUGCACAAUGGGCGCAAGCCUGAUGCAGCGACGCCGCGUGAGGGAUGACGGCCUUCGGGUUGUAAACCUCUUUCAGCAGGGAAGAAGCGCAAGUGACGGUACCUGCAGAAGAAGCGCCGGCUAACUACGUGCCAGCAGCCGCGGUAAUACGUAGGGCGCAAGCGUUGUCCGGAAUUAUUGGGCGUAAAGAGCUCGUAGGCGGCUUGUCGCGUCGGAUGUGAAAGCCCGGGGCUUAACUCCGGGUCUGCAUUCGAUACGGGCAGGCUAGAGUUCGGUAGGGGAGAUCGGAAUUCCUGGUGUAGCGGUGAAAUGCGCAGAUAUCAGGAGGAACACCGGUGGCGAAGGCGGAUCUCUGGGCCGAUACUGACGCUGAGGAGC
rnacentral:rRNA from 1 species